GUUAGAUCACCGAAGUCAAGCAUCAUUGGGCGCGGUCAGUACUUGGGUGGGUGACCACCUGGGAACACCGCGUGCCGUU